rnacentral:misc_RNA from 1 species
AACUUUCAGCAAGGGAUCUCUUGGCUCUCGCAUCGAUGAAGAACGCAGCGAAAUGCGAUAAGUAAUGUGAAUUGCAGAAUUCAGUGAAUCAUCGAAUCUUUGAACGCACCUUGCGCUCCUUGGUAUUCCGAGGAGCAUGCCUGUUUGAGUGGCAUUAAAUUCUCAACCUUCCAGCUUUUAUUAGCUUGGUUAGGCUUGGAUGUGGGGGUUGCAGGCUUCACUUAUGAGGUCGGCUCUCCUUAAAUGCAUUAGCGGAACUUUUGUGGACCGUCUAUUGGUGUGAUAAUUAUCUACGCCGUGGAUGUGAAGCAGCUUUAUAAAGUUCAGCUUCUAACAGUCCAUUGACUUGGACAAUUUUGACAAUUUGACCUCAAAUCAGGUAGGACUACCCGCUGAACUUAAGCAUAUCAAUAAGCGGAGGCU